UGUAACAUCUUCAGGCUUUUUCCAUGUGGGAGUAGGUGUCUGAGUUUCCUUACCCUUUAAGGCUGAAAAUAUUCCACUGUAUGUACAGACCAUUGCUGUAUUCAUUCACCACGGUCGGGUUGUCCCCACCGUCUGGCUAAUGUGAAUGAUGUUGCUGUGUGUGUAGGUGGAUAAAACUGAAGUUUCCCAAAGGCAGGUCUUUAUCAAGCAUAUACUCUGCCAGUUCUUAUGGAAAGAUACUCUGUUUUAUUUUUCUGCAGCUGCCAGCUGCUACUCUGUCCUGAGACAUGCAUCCUCCAGAAUAUGUCCCUGAACAUCACCACCUGACUCAGCUGAACUUUCUUUCUCAACCCCAGGUCACCUCUUGAAGAGUCUCUUCCCAUUUUUGGAUGCCAUGAGACACCCUCCUCUACAGCCAUCUCCAUCCACAGACCCUGCUGCUUUCCAGAGAGGAAGGAAGGCUUCACAGCUUCCAGGACAUGUCCUGGGGUCGCUUCCAUAGAAAUGAGUUCAGCCCAUGAACCAGACAAGGACGUCAGUUACACAGUCUCUCUGCUCACUGACAGAGAGUCAGAGACAAAGAGCCCGAAGGAGCAAGUACACAGGACCAUUUCCUUGAGAGAAAUCUUUUAACAUCUUUCUCAGAAGACAAGUCCCCACGUCAGUGGCAGCGGCAGAGGGUUCUUUUCCAAGACCUCUGCUCAGAUCAAGUCAGGAUUCUUGACCUUGGUACAUAAAAGCAUUUCAGGAUGAG